rnacentral:rRNA from 1 species
AUUGAACGCUGGCGGAAUGCUUUACACAUGCAAGUCGAACGGCAGCACGGACUUCGGUCUGGUGGCGAGUGGCGAACGGGUGAGUAAUGUAUCGGAACGUGCCCAGUCGUGGGGGAUAAUGUAGUGAAAAUUACGCUAAUACCGCAUACGAUCUAUGGAAGAAAGCGGGGGAUCGCAAGAACUCGCGCGAUUGGAGCGGCCGAUAUCAGAUUAGGUAGUUGGUGGGGUAAAGGCCCACCAAGCCAACGAUCUGUAGCUGAUAUGAGAGGACGACCGGCCACACUGGAACUGAGACACGGUCCAGACUCCUACGGGAGGCAGCAGUGGGGAAUUUUGGACAAUGGGCGAAAGCCUGAUCCAGCCAUUCCGCGUGCAGGAUGAGGGCCCUCGGGUUGUAAACUGCUUUUGUACAGAACGAAAAGGUUUCUACUAAUACUAGGAGCUCAUGACGGUACUGUAAGAAUAAGCACCGGCUAACUACGUGCCAGCCGCCGCCGUAA